GCUUACGGCCAUACCAGCCUGGUGUACGCCCGAUCUCGUCUGAUCUCGGAAGCUAAGCAGGGUCGGGCCUGGUUAGUACUUGGAUGGGAGACCGCCUGGGAAUACCAGGUGCUGUAAGCA
rnacentral:rRNA from 1 species